AAUCCGAGAAUUUCACCUCUGACAAUUAAAUACGAAUGCCCCCAACUGUCCCUCUUAAUCAUUACUUCGGCCCUGGAAACCAACAAAAUAGGACCGAGGUCCUCUUCCAUUAUUCCAUGCUAACGUAUUCAGGCGACGGCCUGCCUUGAACACUCUAAUUUGUUCAAAGUAAACGUCCCGAACUCCCCGACCACUGCAGUAAAGAGCAGUCGGGGCCUUCGAGAGGAAGGGCGCCCGACCAGUACUCGCCUCGCGGCGGACCAGCCGGGCCGCCCCGAAAUCCAACUACGAGCUUUUUAACUGCAACAACUUUAAUAUACGCUAUUGGAGCUGGAAUUACCGC
rnacentral:misc_RNA from 1 species